AUUGAACGCUGGCGGCAGGCCUAACACAUGCAAGUCGAACGGUAACAGGAAGCAGCUUGCUGCUUUGCUGACGAGUGGCGGACGGGUGAGUAAUGUCUGGGAAACUGCCUGAUGGAGGGGGAUAACUACUGGAAACGGUAGCUAAUACCGCAUAACGUCGCAAGACCAAAGAGGGGGACCUUAGGGCCUCUUGCCAUCGGAUGUGCCCAGAUGGGAUUAGCUAGUAGGUGGGGUAACGGCUCACCUAGUCGACGAUCCCUAGCUGGUCUGAGAGGAUGACCAGCCACACUGGAACUGAGACACGGUCCAGACUCCUACGGGAGGCAGCAGUGGGGAAUAUUGCACAAUGGGCGCAAGCCUGAUGCAGCCAUGCCGCGUGUAUGAAGAAGGCCUUCGGGUUGUAAAGUACUUUCAGCGGGGAGGAAGGGAGUAAAGUUAAUACCUUUGCUCAUUGACGUUACCCGCAGAAGAAGCACCGGCUAACUCCGUG
rnacentral:rRNA from 1 species